rnacentral:lncRNA from 1 species
GUUCUUUGGACAAGGAUUUCCCUCACUAUGGGAAAUAUGACUACUAAUUCUUUAACUACUAACUAAUAUUUCUGUUUAUUUAAAGUACAUUUACUUUAUUGCACUUUUACUUUCAAGUUUAUUAAAUUGCUUAUCUUGUGCAUACCUUAAGUUACUGACCAUUUUUAAAGUAUAUUGAUGAACGCUUAUAUAUGUACUUUAUUGGUCUUGAAGUAAUUGUCUUACUUACUAAAGUUUGCUAUAUUUUAUUGACGUAAUUAUAUUUGGAGAUGUGAAGCCGGGUGAUUAGUACUACCCCGUGCUUAAGUGAAUUACUGGUAAAAGUGUUUUGUGAUUUGUGAUUUGUGGAGUUAGCCUGGGCCCUAGUCCCUACAGAUAGUGCACUAUUAUACUCAUAGGAAGAAAGUGUCGACCUUGAGUAUACAUACUCUGGUAUUGUCCUUGGUAUGCUGCGGCUUAUCCGUGCUUUGGUAUAGUGGACCUAGCAUGUGAUCUUUGUGAUUUAUUACCAGUUUCCUAAACAUUCACAUGGAUAAAUUUAUUCACGCUUGUAUAUGUGUGUGUGUGACACGACCCACCCCGAAUUUCACCCUGAAACCCAGAGUAAGUCGUGCGGGGACCACCUCCAAGGAAAAUUUACUGAAAAGAUUAAGAAAAUCUCCCUUGCAGAUGGACAACCCUAACUCGAAAAUUUCAUAUUACACUCUUAAUUUAACGCUUCUGAACAUCACAUAAUAUACAAAAAUUCUAAAGUAUUCAGAGCUACUAAACACAAGCGGAAGCAAGAAAACACGAGUAGGUUGAACAGGUAACUUACUGAUGAAACCUGGCAGAAAUGCGGGUGACUAUGCCUCGUCUCCUACUAGAUCCAACCCGAACUCUGCAGACUGGACAAUUUAAAACGAAGGGCCCAGGGGAAAACAUUUAAUAACGUUAGAGUGAGUGGACAAAAAUAAAAUAAUAAAUAAAAUAUUUAUGUUUCCCCAAAUUAAUUUCUAANNNN